AGACCAUGAUGAGGACACUUUCUUAGUAGCUCAUUGAACCUUUCCCAAGUUUCAUAUAAGGAUUCCCCAUCUUCUUUUGAGUAU
rnacentral:snoRNA from 2 species